rnacentral:tRNA from 1 species
GGGCCGGUGGUGAAGUUUGGAACUCAUGCCGGAUUUGCAAUCCGGAGCUCGCGGGUUCAAAUCCCGCCCGGUCCACCA